rnacentral:misc_RNA from 1 species
CUACUUGUAACACUGAAAGUUAAUUGGAAAUUAUUUUCUAACAUUUGGAGUGUAUGAGAAAAUAAUAAUUUUCUUUCAAUAAAAAGAUCAUGAGAAUAUUUGAAUCUAUUAGGACUUUAUAUUUUUCCAUGUGAAGUUGUUUAAGUCUAAGUGUCCUUCACACAUAGCUGUUGCAGAGGGAUGGGUUCUAGAUGGGUCUUCGGGAAGAAAAAGCGCAAAGGGAAGAGGAAGAAAAAUGAGCUGGUGACUCAAUCCCUAGGCUUUAAUACCAUGUAGAAAAAGAAGAGGAGAAUUUUGGAGAAUAAAAUGUUUUAUUAUUUCCUCAAGCCUUGGGGAUUAAAUUGAAUACAUAAAUUUCUGAAUAGGAAACAUGCAUAAUUUGUCAGAGAUGCAUUUAAUGGCAAGGCUUAUGCAAGAUGUGGGCAACAGGAUGAAGAAGGCAAUGGCAUCCAAAAUGGCAGCAACAACUAACCAUAUCAAGAUUUUAUGAAUAUUAUCAAAUUAAGAUGUUAUUUUGAUUAUAAUCUCUUGAUUAAAGCCUUGAA